AUUCAUUACGCUCAGUUGGUUAGAUCAUGGUACCAAUAAUGCCAAGGUUGCAGGUUCAAUCCCCACGUGGGACA